UACGUAGGGUGCGAGCGUUGUCCGGAAUUACUGGGCGUAAAGAGCUCGUAGGUGGUUUGUCGCGUUGUCCGUGAAAACUCACAGCUCAACUGUGGGCGUGCGGGCGAUACGGGCAGACUGGAGUACUGCAGGGGAGACUGGAAUUCCUGGUGUAGCGGUGGAAUGCGCAGAUAUCGGGAGGAACACCGGUGGCGAAGGCGGUUCUCUGGGCCUUACCUGACGCUGAGGAGCGAAAGCGUGGGGAGCAAACAGG
rnacentral:rRNA from 1 species